CCUAUAGUUACAUUAAAACAGACAUGGGUCAUGCAGUGAAGGUCUGUGGACCUACUCGGUACCUUUAUCUUGUAAGUAAAAGUAGUAGGCCAUUUUCCACAAUGGAAAAUGCUACAUUACAAGUUCUCAUUUCAGGUUGUUUCAAGCCAGCGGGGUCAGCUGCCCUAUUAUAGUACUUUGAGAAUGAUCAUAUUGAUAUGGUGUGGAGUGUGGAGCUGAGCAGCAGUGGCGGAGGGUUUAGGUAUGGGGCCAUGGCUGGGCACAGAGUGCAGACACAGGAGGACCUAGUGUGUCAGAUAAUGUAUGUGUGUACUGUUCUGGCCUCUCUUAACACACAUUCACAUAUUGCCAUCAGCUGGCCUUUUGCUCACUGCCCUGUGUGCAGAGGGGGAGUAUGGGCAGAAACCAGCGACCAGGGAAGGUGUGUAUGUGUGUGUGUCUGUCUGUCUGUGUGUGCAGGGGAGGUAGUGGAGGUGGGGUUCAUGGAGGUGGGGGUAAAGAGACAGCUUGAAAAGGAAAAAGGCAACACGGGAGCCCUUCUGUUGCCAUUACUGUGGCCAGACGUGUCCCUGUGACACACACACACACACACACACACACACACACACACACACACACAAACAAUUUAGUCAGUUGUCAACUUCAGCUGUUAGUCCUGCACGGUUGCAAAAGCAUGACAGGAAUAAUUACCAACAUAAUGUUUAUAUUAUUAAAAACAAUGGUCACAUAAGAAGCAUGAGAGCAUGUUAGCAUGCUAAUAUUUGCCAAUUAGCACUAACCACAAAGUACAGCUGAGGCUGAUGGGAAUGUCAUUAGUUCUGCAGGUAUUUGUCAUAAACAAAAGUAUUCGACAAAUUUGAAUUUUGUUCUGAUGCUGGUGCUAGGUGGAAAAUGAAGAGAUCAACAAAGUUUUUGUCGACCUGUCGACCAACAGACAGACCAGCAUUGCCAUCCCUGGAGCAUGGCUAAAAAUCACUCCACUAUAAUAAUAAUAAUCGCCUCUCUUCAAGGAGGUCAAAGUCAGCAUCUGUUACAGAAUAAAGGUCCUUGCUGGACAGAUGUUUACCAACAUAGUGUCUUGAAUCUAUAUUCUCCUGGGCCUUUUUUCUUUGACAAGGCCACACUGCUGCUUGAUAACUAGAGGUCCUCUCCUGUUCUCCUAUACUGUAUCCUCUCUUAAUGCUGUCCUUUAUAAAGAUUGUUAUAUUC